UCUUCUCUUCCUGAAGAGAAAUAUCUAGAAGAAGUGAUUGGCCACCUUUGCAAAUGUGCCUUGGACCAGCCAUGGGUGUCCGAGAUGUAUCCUACUCAAUAAGAACUUUUGGGGAAACCACCAGAGCAUUCAUUCAGAGAUCAUUGUUUUACUAUCUCUGCAUCAGGGCAUCAUAAGCAUUUGGAAUGAUUCUUCCUGACCAGAAUACACAGAUGGCAUGUUUGGCUCUUUGACAAUGGCAGGAUCUGGGGACUAACACAGAAGGCUAUUCCCUGAAGCAAAAUGGGUUGAUCCAGAUGCAGAUAGCAAAACAGAUCAUCAUGAUGGAGACAUGGG